GGGGGGGGGGGGGGGGGGGCGGGGGACAGGCGGGUCGGGCGGAAAGGCCCUGCUUGCGGGGUGCUCGAGUGGCGAACGGGUGAGUAACACGUGGGUGAUCUGCCCCUUACUUUGGGCUAUGCCUGUGAUACUUGGUCUAAUCCUGGAUCGGCCCAUGCUGUCGGUGGUGUGGUGUAACGAUUAUUUUCGGUUAGGGAUGCGCUCGCGGCCUGUCAGCUUGUUUGUGGGGUAAUGUCCUACCAAGGCGUCGACGGGUAGCCGUGCGGAGAGGGUGGACGGCAGCAUGGGGACUGGGAUACGGCCCAGACUCCUACGGGAGGCAGCAGUGGGGAAUAUUGCACAAUGGGCGCAAGCCUGAUGCAGCGACGCCGCGUGGGGGAUGACGGCCUUCGGGUUGUAAACUCCUUUCAGCCAUGACGAAGCCCUUGUGGUGACGGUAGUGGUAGAAGAAGCACCGGCUAACUACGUG
rnacentral:rRNA from 1 species